ACGGUGAUAGCAUAUCAUAGUGGCGCACGGGUGCGUAACACGUAUGCAACCUACCUUAUACUGAGGGAUAGCCUUUCGAAAGGGAGAUUAACACCUCAUAACACAUUGAACUGGCAUCAGUUUAUUGUUAAAGAUUUAUUGGUAUAAGAUGGGCAUGCGUCCAAUUAGUUAGUUGGCGAGGUAACGGCUCACCAAGACGAUGAUCGGUAGGGGAACUGAGAGGUUAAUCCCCCACACUGGCACUGAGAUACGGGCCAGACUCCUACGGGAGGCAGCAGUAGGGAAUAUUGGGCAAUGGAGGCAACUCUGACCCAGCCAUGCCGCGUGCAGGAAGAAGGCGUUAUGCGUUGUAAACUGCUUUUAUAUAGGAAGAAAUAGACCUUGCGAGGUAAGUUGACGGUACUAUAUGAAUAAGCACCGGCUAACUCCGUGCCAGCAGCCGCGGUAAUACGGAGGGUGCAAGCGUUGUCCGGAUUUGUUGGGUUUAAAGGGUGCGUAGGCGGUUUAUUAAGUCAGCGGUGAAAGACGGUCGCUCAACGAUUGCAGUGCCAUUGAUACUGGUAGACUUGAG
rnacentral:rRNA from 1 species